rnacentral:rRNA from 1 species
UGGGGAAUAUUGGGCAAUGGGCGCAAGCCUGACCCAGCAACGCCGCGUGAAGGAAGAAGGCUUUCGGGUUGUAAACUUCUUUUAAGAGGGAAGAGAAGAAGACGGUACCUCUUGAAUAAGCCACGGCUAACUACGUGCC